CAGCCAUGACUGAUGCGGCAAACCGCACCCGCCUUCCCUCAUAAGAGCCGGGAGAAACAAAUCCGCAAUCUGUUGCGUGCGCCUCGGCUGGAUAAGGAAGCGCGUUUUUUUUUUUGCUUUUAUUUUUAUGCACUGGGAAUUGACGCCACGGCAAAGAGCAGCGCUAACUUAACGGAAAAUGAGGAUCAGAGCUUGAUAUCAAACACUGUGCGGGAGCAGGGACUCAAAAAAGAACUCUGAAGUGACAGCCGAAAAUCUGCCAACACAAGAGUCUUCCAGACAUCAUGUCCCUCCUUUAUAUCAUCAUCUUAUGGCUCUGUGCCUGUGUGGACAGUGCAGAAUCUCUGGUUACUGUAUCAGCUGAAGUGGGUUCCACAGUCAUCCUGCCGUGUAAACUGACUGAAGAGUUCAAACCAACAUCAGUUAUUCAGUGGAAAAUCAACAAAAUAGACCUAAUGUUUGAGAGAAGCAUUAAACAUUAUAGUUCAGGUGAAGGAUAUGAAGGACGUGUGGAUGUUCCUGUGGACGAGCUGCAUAAAGGAAACUGUUCCCUGGUGUUGAGGAACGUCAGAUUUACUGAUGACCAAACCUACAAUUCCUUUACAAUGGAACAUGUGGACAUUAAUAACUAUGUGGAAGCGAAACAAAUUAACAGUGUUACACUCUCAGUCUAUGCUCUUCAGAUAUCAGCUCCAGUGGGUUCCACAGUUGUCCUGCCGUGUGAUUGGAGUCAUCUGUCCAUCAAAACUCCUUACGUUAAGUGGUUUAUCGAUUCUGAGACUGUGUUUAAGCGAAAGGGGAAAGAUUCAUAUCAGUGUGAAGGAUAUGAGGGUCGCGUGAAUGUUCCUGAGAACGAGCUGCUUAAAGGAAACUGUUCCCUGGUGAUGAAGAACAUCAGUGUUAGUGAUACAGGAAUCUACAGAAGCUCCAUGAUUAAAGACACACAGGAAUCUGUCUUGGUCCAGAAGGUUAAACUGUCAGUUGAGGACAGUGUUAAUGAGAGAGAUUCUUCAUCUGAGGAUUCAGACUCACAACAGCCUGGAGGGAACAACUGGAUUAUUUUAUAUGUUGGGAUCAUCGUCAUCAUCAUCAUCAUCAUCAUCUGUGUAUCUGUGUACUACAGCUGUGUGAACGGUAACACCGGUUAAAAUUGUCACAGACGUGCCACCGACUCCACUAAACAGAAUGGAAACAGUGUGACGUACACAACAGUCGACACACAACCACAGAGUUAAUGACCAACACAAGAUGGUCUGCUCUGAUCUCAUCAUGGAUUUCAGAUCAUCUUAAACUUCAUCCCUGAGCCACUUAGCUGAUGUUCAUCUCAGGAGCUUCAUCACCAUGUCAGGAUCUUCUGAUUUACUUCAGAACUUCAAUUUCAAUUCAGAAUAAAAAACAGAAUAUAAAAUUCUAGAUUAUUAUUAGAUAUAAAUAGUUCACAAUCUGUAUGUAUUUAUCCCCCAAUGAGCAAGUCUGAGGUGACUCAGGCAGCAGUGG